GAUGAAGAACGUAGCGAAAUGCGAUAAGUAAUGUGAAUUGCAGAAUUCAGUGAAUCAUCGAAUCUUUGAACGCACAUUGCGCCCGGCAGUACUCUGCCGGGCAUGCCUGUUCGAGCGUCAUUUCAACCCUCAAGCCCUGCUUGGUGUUGGGGCCCCACGGCUGCCGUGGGCCCUGAAAGGAAGUGGCGGGCUUGCUACAACUCCGAGCGUAGUAAUUCAUUAUCUCGCUUAGGGCGUUGGGCGGCGCUCCAGCCGUUAAAGAACCAUCUUUAACUCAAGGUUGACCUCGGAUCAGGUAGGAAUACCCGCUGAACUUAAGCAUAUCAAUAAGCGGAGGA
rnacentral:misc_RNA from 1 species